UACGUAGGGUGCGAGCGUUGUCCGGAAUUAUUGGGCGUAAAGGGCUCGUAGGCGGUCUGUUGCGUCGGGAGUGAAAACUCAGGGCUUAACCCUGAGCCUGCUUCCGAAUACGGGCAGACUAGAGGUAUGCAGGGGAGAACGGAAUUCCUGGUGUAGCGGUGAAAUGCGCAGAUAUCAGGAGGAACACCGGUGGCGAAGGCGGUUCUCUGGGCAUUACCUGACGCUGAGGAGCGAAAGUGUGGGGAGCGAACAGG
rnacentral:rRNA from 1 species